CUUGCCCCCAGCCUUUUCCCUCUGUGCAGAGACAUUGAAUACCCCAUGUAAUCCUCCUUUUUUUCCCCCUAAUAUUGUUCUGAUCCAUUUAUCCCAGUCAGGAAACAUAAUUCCUUCCUUCUUAAGCUUGAUCAGGAGCUCUUGGAACUUUCACCUUUUAAUCUUUGUUUCCUUAUUGCCUAGCACACUGCAGUUUCAAGCCCAGGGGACUAUAUAAUCACAUGAGGAGUUUACCCGGCCAUACAUGGAAGUGGAGCCCAGAGAAGGCCUUUAAGUAGAGGUGACAUCUAAGCUGAGACCCAGAAGGUUUAUAAAAACUAGAAAGAAGCCUAUCCCUUUGUAUUUAAAACAAGGCAAAAGAAAUUUAUGAUUGGAUAUUGUCUUAGCUUGGGCUGCUAUAACAAAAUCCCAUAGACUGACUGGGUACCUUAAACAACAGACACUUAUUUUUCUCACACAUCUGAAGAGUUGAAGUCUGAGAUUGGGAUGCCAGCCAGUUUGGUUCCUGGUACUGCUUUUUGUGCUGGGGAUACUGUGGUAAACAAGACAGGCAAUGUUUCUCUUCCCAUGCAACUUACAUCCUGCUCUUUCCUGACACAAACCAUGAGUCAGAUGGGGCAUCAUCUCCAGGAAACCUUCCUUGAUUCUACCCGGAACUUCCUACCCUGUGGCUAAGUAAGACAUCUCUACCCUGUGGCUAAAGUUGGGAGCUUCCAGAAAUAGCAAUGGCCUGGACUUCUUUCUGUGUGUUCCUUCAUCAGACUUGACCUGUUUGAACCAAUGAUUGCACUUAGGAAAGCAGUCUUGGGUCUUCCGUAACUUAAAUAUGAUUAUUCUUCAAGAUCUCAAACCAAAUCUGGCUCAUGAUUUUUUAUGUCUGGGUUGUUAUAUAAAGACAUAUAUUUGCAGACUA